ACAUGCUUACAACAUAGCAUUAAUGCACUAGAUCCCAUUAGAACUCUGUAGUUAAGUACACUCAUGCUAGAAUAGUACUGGGAUGGGUGACCGCUCGGGAAGUCCUAGUAUUUUACAUUUU
rnacentral:rRNA from 1 species